rnacentral:rRNA from 1 species
CUUUCAGUUAUAACUUAAACUUACACAUGCAAGCCUCCCACUCCAGUGAAAAUACCCUUUAUCUUCCAACUAUAAGAAGAAAAGGAGUUGGUAUCAGGCUCAAUUAGCCCAAGACACCUAGCUUAGCCACGCCUCCAAAGGACUUCAGCAGUGAUUAACAUUAAACAUUAGCGCAAGCUAAAUUUAGUUAUAAUUAAUAUGGUCGGUUAAUUUCGUGCCAGCCACCGCGGUUAUACGAAAGACUUAAACUGAAAGCCACCGGCGUAAAGCGUGAUUAAGAAUAUAAACUUUCUAAAGCUAAACUCUGAUUUAAUUGUUAUAAGUUCUUAUCAGUUGGAAACCCAUUCACGAAAGUAGCUUUAUUAUUCCUGACUUCACAGUAGCCAAGACCCAAACUGGGAUUAGAUACCCCACUAUGCUUGGCCCUAAACUUUGAUAAUUACAAUUCAC